rnacentral:snoRNA from 1 species
CUGAGUUUGUGAUGAUGUCAAGUUAUCCCUGUCUGAAGGCAAAAAGAAGGGCCUUUCUGUGUGGAACGUGGAUGUCUGAAACUCGG